rnacentral:rRNA from 1 species
UUCGUAGGCGGUGCGGCAAGUCGGGAGUGAAAUCUCUGGGCUUAACUCAGAGGCUGCUUCCGAAACUGCCGUGCUCGAGUGUGGGAGAGGCGCGUGGAACUGCAGGUGUAGCGGUGAAAUGCGUAGAUAUCUGCAGGAACACCCGUGGCGAAAGCGGCGCGCUGGACCACAACUGACGCUGAGGAACGAAAGCUAGGGGAGCAAACAGGAUUAGAUACCCUGGUAGUCCUAGCCCUAAACGAUCAGGACUUGGGGUGCCGCCCGUUCGGGCGUCGUCCCGGAGCUAACGCGUUAAGUCCUGCACCUGGGGAGUACGGUCGCAAGACUGAA